UCCGUAGGUGAACCUGCGGAGGGAUCAUUACGAGAGUGUCACC
rnacentral:rRNA from 1 species